rnacentral:rRNA from 1 species
CAGUCGCCGCGGGAAAACGGAGGGUGCAAGCGUUAAUCGGAAUUACUGGGCGUAAAGCGUGCGUAGGCGGUGAGUUAAGUCUGCUGUGAAAUCCCCGGGCUCAACCUGGGAAUGGCAGUGGAUACUGGCUCGCUAGAGUGUGUCAGAGGAUGGUGGAAUUCCCGGUGUAGCGGUGAAAUGCGUAGAGAUCGGGAGGAACAUCAGUGGCGAAGGCGGCCAUCUGGGACAACACUGACGCUGAGGCACGAAAGCGUGGGGAGCAAGCAGGAUUAGAUACCCGCGUAGUCCCUGUCUCUUAUAA